rnacentral:sRNA from 1 species
UCUUUUUCUUCUUCUUCUUCUUCUCCUCCUUCAUCAUCA